rnacentral:rRNA from 1 species
UGGGGAAUAUUGGCACAAUGGGCGAAAGCCUGAUGCAGCAACGCCGCGUGAGUGAUGAAGGCCUUCGGGUUGUAAAGCUCUGUCUUUUGGGACGAUAAUGACGGUACCAAAGGAGGAAGCCACGGCUAACUACGUGCCAGCAGCCGCGGUAAUACGUAGGUGGCAAGCGUUGUCCGGAUUUACUGGGCGUAAAGGAUGCGUAGGCGGAUUUUAAGUGAGAUGUGAAAACCCUAAGCUUAACUUGGGGACUGCAUUUCAUACUGGAAAUCUAGAGUGCGGGAGAGGAGAAUGGAAUUCCUAGUGUAGCGGUGAAAUGCGUAGAGAUUAGGAAGAACACCAGUGGCGAAGGCGAUUCUCUGGACCGUAACUGACGCUGAGGCAUGAAAGCGUGGGUAGCAAACAGGAUUAGAUACCCUGGUAGUCCACGCCGU